GCGGCGACAUUCCUCGCCCGCCCGCGACUCCGGCGACAAGGCUCCAGACCCCGCCGUCAGUGCUCCAACAGUCCCGGUAAGCGCGACGGCUCUUCCCCUUCUCCCCCAUUCGUUUUCCUUGCUAGGGCUCGUCGUCCCCUCCACAUUCCCCUUCCCGAAGAGCUCUCUUCCCUUCCCCUCGUCCAUUUUGCUUGCUGGGAUUGGUCCCGAAGCUUCCAGAUCCCUCUCCCAGUCUCCUUCCCAUAAUCCCAUGGCUUGGUGGCCGUCUCUCUCCCCCACCGCUCGACGCCUUGCCCCCUGCCCGCCAUUGCUCCCGACACCAAUAGCGUCGCUCUAACCUGCUGCUGCGUCGCCGCCGUCGGCAAAUCGCUUCCGCUCUUCCGCGCCAUCUCCACCGACAAGGCCGUCUGGUGAGCGCUUCGCCCUGCUCGCCAAAAAAUUAGUGCGUUAACGGCAGUCGCCUGUAAAUAUGCUAUCUUUCUUAGCCUCUUACAUAUUUAUCUAACAAGAACAACACCUGUACUUGAUCACUCUAACUUGCAAAUACUAAUUUUUAUUUAUUUAUAGCUUAUUGUUCUUCUAUACACAUGUGUAACACAACUACAUGUCUUUACAAUGUAGUGGCUGCUCCAAUCUGGUUGUAUUUAAGAUUUUGAUAAUUUUGAUUUAUCAUGUUCGAUGACUCCAAACUUAACCUUGGCAUUUUGAUUUGAUUGUUCGAUACAAGCUCAAGAUGAUACAGGCUGAUCUGAAUGUGAUAGAAUGCAGACUAUAUAUGGCGCUUCCAGAGAAGCAAGAUCAUCUGUGCCUGCAUAGUCUUACUUUCACAGGCUAACUGACUUCAUAUUCU